rnacentral:rRNA from 1 species
AUUGAACGCUGGCGGCAGGCCUAACACAUGCAAGUCGAGCGGAUGAAGGGAGCUUGCUCCUGGAUUCAGCGGCGGACGGGUGAGUAAUGCCUAGGAAUCUGCCUGGGAGUGGGGGAUAACGUCCGGAAACGGGCGCUAAUACCGCAUACGUCCUGAGGGAGAAAGUGGGGGAUCUUCGGACCUCACGCUAUCAGAUGAGCCUAGGUCGGAUUAGCUAGUUGGUGGGGUAAAGGCCUACCAAGGCGACGAUCCGUAACUGGUCUGAGGGGAUGAUCAGUCACUCAGAAGCUGAGAAGCGGCCCGGGCUCUGAGGGAAGGCACAGUUGGGUAAUGUUGGCAGCUGGGGGAAAGCUUGCACAAGCCGUGCAGGGUUUGUGAAGAAGGCCUGCGAGUGGUAAGGCCCUUUACGUGGGGAGAAAGGCCGUUAGGUUAAACCCUGCCUGUUUGACGGUAACCACCAAAGAAGCCACGGCUAACUUCGUG